AGAGUUUGAUCCUGGCUCAGGACGAACGCUGGCGGCGUGCCUAAUACAUGCAAGUCGAGCGGACAGAUGGGAGCUUGCUCCCUGAUGUUAGCGGCGGACGGGUGAGUAACACGUGGGUAACCUGCCUGUAAGACUGGGAUAACUCCGGGAAACCGGGGCUAAUACCGGAUGGUUGUUUGAACCGCAUGGUUCAAACAUAAAAGGUGGCUUCGACUACCACUUACAGAUGGACCCGCGGCGCAUUAGCUAGUUGGUGAGGUAAUGGCUCACCAAGGCAACGAUGCGUAGCCGACCUGAGAGGGUGAUCGGCCACACUGGGACUGAGACACGGCCCAGACUCCUACGGGAGGCAGCAGUAGGGAAUCUUUCGCAAUGGACGAAAGUCUGACGGAGCAACGCCGCGUGAGUGAUGAAGGUUUUCGGAUCGUAAAGCUCUGUUGUUAGGGAAGAACAAGUACCGUUCGAAUAGGGCGGUACCUUGACGGUACCUAACCAGAAAGCCACGGCUAACUACGUGCCAGCAGCCGCGGUAAUACGUAGGUGGCAAGCGUUGUCCGGAAUUAUUGGGCGUAAAGGGCUCGCAGGCGGUUUCUUAAGUCUGAUGUGAAAGCCCCCGGCUCAACCGGGGAGGGUCAUUGGAAACUGGGGAACUUGAGUGCAGAAGAGGAGAGUGGAAUCCCACGUGUAGCGGUGAAAUGCGUAGAGAUGUGGAGGAACACCAGUGGCGAAGGCGACUCUCUGGUCUGUAACUGACGCUGAGGAGCGAAAGCGUGGGGAGCGAACAGGAUUAGAUACCCUGGUAGUCCACGCCGUAAACGAUGAGUGCUAAGUGUUAGGGGGUUUCCGCCCCUUAGUGCUGCAGCUAACGCAUUAAGCACUCCGCCUGGGGAGUACGGUCGCAAGACUGAAACUCAAAUGAAUUUGACGG
rnacentral:rRNA from 1 species